rnacentral:rRNA from 1 species
GACGAGCGCUGGCGGCGUGCCUAACACAUGCAAGUCGAGCGGGGUUGAAGCGAGGGGUAACUCAAGCUUCUACCUAGCGGCGGACGGGUGAGUAACGCGUGGGCAACCUGCCUCAAGGUCUGGGAUAACAGCUCGAAAGGGCUGCUAAUACCGGAUAUGCCUAUGGCCUCGCAUGGGGCUAUGAGCAAAGGGGAAACCCGCCUUGAGAUGGGCCCGCGUCCCAUCAGCUAGUUGGUGAGGUAACAGCUCACCAAGGCGACGACGGGUAGCCGGCCUGAGAGGGUGACCGGCCACACUGGGACUGAGACACGGCCCAGACUCCUACGGGGGGCAGCAGUGGGGGAUCUUGCACAAUGGGCGAAAGCCUGAUGCAGCGACGCCGCGUGAGCGAAGAAGGCCUUCGGGUUGUAAAGCUCUGUCUGGAGGGACGAAGGAAGUGACGGUACCUCCGGAGGAAGCCACGGCUAACUACGUG